rnacentral:misc_RNA from 1 species
GAUGAAGAACGCAGCGAAAUGCGAUAAGUAAUGUGAAUUGCAGAAUUCAGUGAAUCAUCGAAUCUUUGAACGCACAUUGCGCCCCCCAGUAUUCUGGCGGGCAUGCCUGUUCGAGCGUCAUUUCAACCAUCAAGCCCUGCUUGUGUUGGGGUCCUGCGGCUGCCCGCAGGCCCUGAAAACCAGUGGCGGGCUCGCUAGUCACACCGAGCGCAGUAGCACAUCUCGCUCAGGGCGUGCGGCGGGCUCCAGCCGUUAAAGCACCCACCUUUCGCAAGGUUGACCUCGGAUCAGGUAGGAAUACCCGCUGAACUUAAGCAUAGCAAUAAGCGGAGGA